AAAUUGAAGAGUUUGAUCAUGGCUCAGAUUGAACGCUGGCGGCAGGCCUAACACAUGCAAGUCGAGCGGUAGCACAGAGAGCUUGCUCUCGGGUGACGAGCGGCGGACGGGUGAGUAAUGUCUGGGAAACUGCCUGAUGGAGGGGAUAACUACUGGAAACGGUAGCUAAUACCGCAUAACGUCGCAAGACCAAAGUGGGGGACCUUCGGGCCUCAUGCCAUCAGAUGUGCCCAGAUGGGAUUAGCUAGUAGGUGGGGUAACGGCUCACCUAGGCGACGAUCCCUAGCUGGUCUGAGAGGAUGACCAGCCACACUGGAACUGAGACACGGUCCAGACUCCUACGGGAGGCAGCAGUGGGGAAUAUUGCACAAUGGGCGCAAGCCUGAUGCAGCCAUGCCGCGUGUGUGAAGAAGGCCUUCGGGUUGUAAAGCACUUUCAGCGGGGAGGAAGGCGAUAAGGUUAAUAACCUUGUCGAUUGACGUUACCCGCAGAAGAAGCACCGGCUAACUCCGUGCCAGCAGCCGCGGUAAUACGGAGGGUGCAAGCGUUAAUCGGAAUUACUGGGCGUAAAGCGCACGCAGGCGGUCUGUCAAGUCGGAUGUGAAAUCCCGGGCUCAACCUGGGAACUGCAUUCGAAACUGGCAGGCUAGAGUCUUGUAGAGGGGGUAGAAUUCCAGGUGUAGCGGUGAAAUGCGUAGAGAUCUGGAGGAAUACCGGUGGCGAAGGCGGCCCCUGGACAAAGACUGACGCUCAGGUGCGAAAGCGUGGGGAGCAAACAGGAUUAGAUACCCUGGUAGUCCACGCCGUAAACGAUGUCGAUUUGGAGGUUGUGCCCUUGAGGCGUGGCUUCCGGAGCUAACGCGUUAAAUCGACCGCCUGGGGAGUACGGCCGCAAGGUUAAAACUCAAAUGAAUUGACGGGGCCCGCACAAGCGGUGGAGCAUGUGGUUUAAUUCGAUGCAACGCGAAGAACCUUACCUGGUCUUGACAUCCACAGAACUUUCCAGAGAUGGAUUGGUGCCUUCGGGAACUGUGAGACAGGUGCUGCAUGGCUGUCGUCAGCUCGUGUUGUGAAAUGUUGGGUUAAGUCCCGCAACGAGCGCAACCCUUAUCCUUUGUUGCCAGCGGUCCGGCCGGGAACUCAAAGGAGACUGCCAGUGAUAAACUGGAGGAAGGUGGGGAUGACGUCAAGUCAUCAUGGCCCUUACGACCAGGGCUACACACGUGCUACAAUGGCAUAUACAAAGAGAAGCGACCUCGCGAGAGCAAGCGGACCUCAUAAAGUAUGUCGUAGUCCGGAUUGGAGUCUGCAACUCGACUCCAUGAAGUCGGAAUCGCUAGUAAUCGUAGAUCAGAAUGCUACGGUGAAUACGUUCCCGGGCCUUGUACACACCGCCCGUCACACCAUGGGAGUGGGUUGCAAAAGAAGUAGGUAGCUUAACCUUCGGGAGGGCGCUUACCACUUUGUGAUUCAUGACUGGGGUGAAGUCGUAACAAGGUAACCGUAGGGGAACCUGCGGUUGGAUCACCUCCUUACCUUAAAGAA
rnacentral:rRNA from 1 species